UCUGCGUCGAAAGUUCUUUGGAGGUCUGAUUAUAAAAAAGAAACUUCAAUCAAUUUACAACGUCGGACUAAAACGUUAACAAGCUAAACAGAGGAAAUGAGUGUUCCCUUUUCAGACGUCGUAGCCUUUCUAAAAACCGAUGUUUAACAAAGGAGAACAUGCGUAAACCUACAGCCUUCAACAAAGACUCAUUGAAUCAUGUCACUAAUCCCCAUACAGAAUAGAUACCCCGGGACUCACCGAACGAUGUGUCCUGUUCUGUUCUUCCGUACCCCUCCAACUAUUAGGUCUUCGUCCCAGUGCAUAUACUUAGUGGAGAUGCCGGAACACCCGCCUGUCAAGGCGGCACCUAUAUCUGGGGCCUGGUGGAAAUUGCAUAAUAAAUUAUACCUACAUAUCUAGUCUGCGAAGUAGGUACAAAAAAGACCCGUAGAAAACCACGUGUCACCAAUUAUCGUGAAUAUCUUCAUAAUGAAGCAGAGGAAAAUAAAUCUGGUUACGUAAAUCAUUUAAGGAUACGGGGAAACAUGGUAUUUAAUUAAAGGGAUAGCUCUACAAUACGUACAGCUCUGGAGGCUUUGUUUGGCGCUGAUCGGGGACACUCAGAUUCAUAAGGAUCAAGGCAAGGUUUAUCCAGAUAUCCUCGAGAUAUUCCAGACUGGAAUAACAAGAAGGGGAGAUUAAUGCUUAUUCCAAUUUCAUCCGAAGACGAUUUUUUUUUUAAACAGAUACAUGAACUGAUCUACAGGAAGUUAGAGACACGAACACGUACCCUGUUCAUGAGCUCCUCUAUGUCCUUCACGUCGGAGAAUGUGGGGUAUUUCUGUCCGUAGGCUUGAAUAAAACCCAAUGGAUCCAAGUUUGUCCACUUUAUUGGCAAACCUCUACAACGACACAGAACCGUGAAUAGUGAAAAUCUAUCCAGAGAUUGGACCAAAUAAAAAGGAAGUUGAUUUGGAAAAUUUUUCGAUGACUUACAUAUCUACGUAGACGGUGUGGUCGGGUCCUAGAAGUUUCGCACCGUCCCAGAAGCAGUCCAGAGGGGUGAUAAUUACACAGGGAAGUAACUGUUCUAUUAUCUAUCAAACGGAAAAAAAUAGGAGAUGUUAAACUGAAAAUUAAACGGGUGGAAUAAUGAGGAUAAUUUACAUUGGUCUGAAACUUACAUUGUCAAUGUAGCUUCCCUCCGUCUUAGGAAAUUCGGGAAGGUAGCAGAUAUCAUGAAAUUUCCACGUCCUGGAACACAACCAUGGAUUUCAACAUUAUCAUAUUCCCAAUUGAUUUUAACUAGUUCUAGUAUUUUAAUGUAAAUUUUUGAUGAACUUGCAAUAAAUGAGGACAUUCGGAAAAUGCAAUUCACUCACACUUCAAACAUGUCAACGGAGAUUUCGGUGACUUUCCGGAGGGUGUCUAGAUGGAACUGCAAAGAGGGAACGGUGAGGAUGUUGGAGCCAACCUUUGGGGUCUGGAUGACCAGCUGACUUGUCGUUCCCCGUCCCUCUCCGAUCGUGGAUCGUGUGUAUUCCAACUCUUUUUCCAGUCUACCGCCCUCUGCAACAAAUGCGAUCAUGAUAUUCUCACCUUUUUGGAAGUUUAGAAUAUAUAUGUUAUGUGUACAGAUAUGAAUUUUUUUUUAAUUUAGUUAGGCUGCAAACUGUGAGUUAGACUAUGUUUUAUAUGUGUAUAUAAUAUUUACGUGACAAUUCGCUUAUUCCAGUUGAGUUGUUUGUGGGACGUACACGACUGUUUGAUUAUAAUGAAAAAUCACAAAAAUUAAAGAAAGGUUAGGCUUUGGGGGGUGAGGGGGGGUUUUUGUGUCCAGUAUCCUAAAUGUCGCCCGACAGUUUAAUCAUUUGUGUUGUAUUCAAAUAGAAUCAUAUAUCGCUUGAUUACUGUGGAUAAGUUUCUUGGGUUUUUCGUUUUGUGCUUCGUUUUAGAUAAGUUUUAGUGUGCCAGCCUUUGUAAUUCAUUGCAUUUUACAGGGGCCACUUUACAGAUUACAUCUUGUCAUGUUUAGUGCAGUUGUUGUUUUAAUCGUUAAAAACGAAGAAAACUUCAUUCUGAUGCAUUUGUCAUUACAUCAGCCCAGCUCUUCAAACUAGAAAACACGCUUAUAGUUCUUAACAGAAAUGUAUUUAAUGUCAGUGGGGGUUUCUUAUCGGAAUUAUAAAGCGAUUCAGAUAUAUAAAAUGCAGUAAGUCAGGAUUGAAGGUUAUAGGAUUAGAUCACACUUGUCAGGUGAUUAAUAACGAGAAACCACCUAGAAGUUUCCUCUAUAGGGAAGGAAUAGCAUUCAGUACCGUGGCGCUAUCGCCGAUCUGCGGUAGGUCCAAAAACCCGUCAGUCAAAUUUAUUCGUGUUAAACACCUUGUGAAUUAUCAAUUGUAUGUCACAAUUUUAAGAGUAAAAAAAAUAAAUAAAUAAAAAUGAGGAAUUCCUCUUUCGGUGACUGGCAAUGUGUUCGGUGUUGGGUGAAAGUACAUUUUGAAAAUAGAUGCUUCCCGACAUUUACAUUUAAUACGAGUCUUAUCUCGGCUUCACGUAAUACAGAAGUUGGUAUUUUGUUUUUUCAUUGCAUUCAUUGUCGACUGUCAACACUGUAAAUAACUUGCGUGUGUUCUCCGUUCUCAGUUAGGCUAGCAGUACAUCGUCAUUAUCUCCAGGUUUUCUGACUUCGUCCUUAUGACGUUUGUAGUGGGAACGUUUUCAAUACAACUUUAAAUUUCACAUAAAACUUUCAAACAUUUUGUUUUUAUUGCCUUUCCGAUAUUCAUGAAAUUUAUGUCUCUGAUUUCUGAAUUGCAUUUAUGGUGCAGUAAAGUAAUAGCCGUAGUUUGAAUUUGUAUUUUUUUUUUUAAAAAUAUUUUAAUCAUGACAUACCAUGGUCUUAUUAUAAUUGGAAAAUGAAGGUAUUUUAUACUUUAAUUAGAUUAAUAGAGAUUCUCACUACGGCUCUGAUAAAUGUUGUUUGCUAUUAGAUUGUGUAAUUUUUAGUUACUGGGUUAUCGUAGACGAUAUUGUCAGGGAUAUUUGUUAAAUACUUACAUCGCAUUUUUUUUUUUAAUUUAGUGUUUGUUUCUUUACGUACGAUGUUGGUUUUAUUAUUCUUAUUUAUUCGGUGGAUUUUUUAUUAUUUUAACUUUAAUUAUACCAAUUCAUAAUCUGCAGCAUGACGAAGCUAUGAACAAGUGGUACAGUUUCAUGCAUUGUAUUUUACGCUCAUGAACAAAUAAAAGUUUUUUCAACAAUCUC